AUUGAACGCUGGCGGCAGGCCUAACACAUGCAAGUCGGACGGUAGCACAGAGGAGCUUGCUCCUUGGGUGACGAGUGGCGGACGGGUGAGUAAUGUCUGGGGAUCUGCCCGAUAGAGGGGGAUAACCACUGGAAACGGUGGCUAAUACCGCACAACGUCGCAAGACCAAAGAGGGGGACCUUCGGGCCUCUCACUAUCGGAUGAACCCAGAUGGGAUUAGCUAGUAGGCGGGGUAAUGGCCCACCUAGGCGACGAUCCCUAGCUGGUCUGCGAGGAUGACCAGCCACACUGGAACUGAGACACGGUCCAGACUCCGACGGGAGGCAGCAGUGGGGAAUAUUGCACAAUGGGCGCAAGCCUGAUGCAGCCAUGCCGCGUGUAUGAAGAAGGCCUUCGGGUUGUAAAGUACUUUCAGUGGGGAGGAAGGCGAUGCGGUUAAUAACCGCGUCGAUUGACGUUACCCGCAGAAGAAGCACCGGCUAACUCCGUGCCAGCCGCCGCAGUAA
rnacentral:rRNA from 1 species